GAUCAACGCUGGCGGCGUGCCUAAUACAUGCAAGUCGAGCGAACAGACGAGGAGCUUGCUCCUCUGACGUUAGCGGCGGACGGGUGAGUGACACGUGGAUAACCUACCUAUAAGACUGGGAUAACUUCGGGAAACCGGAGCUAAUACCGGAUAAUAUAUUGAACCGCAUGGUUCAAUAGUGAAAGACGGUUUUGCUGUCACUUAUAGAUGGAUCCGCGCCGCAUUAGCUAGUUGGUAAGGUAACGGCUUACCAAGGCAACGAUGCGUAGCCGACCUGAGAGGGUGAUCGGCCACACUGGAACUGAGACACGGUCCAGACUCCUACGGGAGGCAGCAGUAGGGAAUCCUACGCAAUGGGCGAAAGCCUGACGGAGCAACGCCGCGUGAGUGAUGAAGGUCUUCGGAUCGUAAAACUCUGUUAUUAGGGAAGAACAAAUGUGUAAGUAACUAUGCACGUCUUGACGGUACCUAAUCAGAAAGCCACGGCUAACUACGUG
rnacentral:rRNA from 1 species